GAUGAACGCUAGCGGCAGGCUUAACACAUGCAAGUCGAGGGGUAUAGUUCUUCGGAAUUAGAGACCGGCGCACGGGUGCGUAACGCGUAUGCAAUCUACCUUUCACAGAGGGAUAGCCCCAGAGAAAUUUGGAUUAAUACCUCAUAGUAUAGCAGUUUCGCAUGAAACCACUAUUAAAGUCACAACGGUGAAAGAUGAGCAUGCGUCCCAUUAGCUAGUUGGUAAGGUAACGGCUUACCAAGGCAACGAUGGGUAGGGGUCCUGAGAGGGAGAUCCCCCACACUGGUACUGAGACACGGACCAGACUCCUACGGGAGGCAGCAGUGAGGAAUAUUGGACAAUGGGCGCAAGCCUGAUCCAGCCAUUCCGCGUGCAGGAUGAAGGCCCUCGGGUUGUAAACUGCUUUUGUACGGAACGAAAGGUUUCUAUUAAUACUAGGAGCUCAUGACGGUACCGUAAGAAUAAGCACCGGCUAACUACGUGCCAGCAGCC
rnacentral:rRNA from 1 species